rnacentral:rRNA from 1 species
GACGAACCGUGCGAACGUUAUUCGGAAUCAUUGGGCUUAAAGGGCGCGUAGGCGGCGAUAUAAGUUGGAAGUGAAAUCCCAUCGGCUCAACCGUGGAAUAGCUCCCAGUACUGUAUCGCUCGAGGGGGAUAGGGGUCUGCGGAACUACCGGUGGAGCGGUGAAAUGCGUUGAUAUCGGUGGGAACGCCAGUGGCGAAAGCGGCAGACUUGACCCUUCCUGACGCUGAGUGCGCGAAAGCUAGGGGAGCAAACGGGG